rnacentral:piRNA from 1 species
UGCCACAUGUUAGAGCGCCAAAUCCUCUUGU